rnacentral:rRNA from 1 species
AACGAACGCUGGCGGCAGGCCUAACACAUGCAAGUCGAGCGCUCUCUUCGGAGGGAGCGGCGGACGGGUGAGUAACGCGUGGGAAUAUGCCCUUUGGUACGGAACAACAGCUGGAAACGGCUGCUAAUACCGUAUGCGCCCUACGGGGGAAAGAUUUAUCGCCAAAGGAUUAGCCCGCGUCGGAUUAGCUAGUUGGCGAGGUAACGGCUCACCAAGGCUGCGAUCCGUACCUGGUUUGAGAGGAUGAUCAGGCACACUGGGACUGAGACACGGCCCAG